rnacentral:rRNA from 1 species
GAUGAACGCUGGCGGCGUGCUUAAGACAUGCAAGUCGAACGAAGCCCUUGUAGCAAUACUGGGGUUGAGUGGCGAAUGGGUGCGUAACACGUAGGUGACCUGCCCUGAAGCGGGGAAUAA